rnacentral:lncRNA from 1 species
GAAAAUUCCCACAGUCCUUUACAUCUGAAGAUGUCUGGGGACUGAUCUCAAAUGGCUUCAGUUGGAACAUCCAUCAAGAAACCCAACAGGAUUCCCCUGGUGUGCAAGAUGUGCCUGAAGACAUUUGACCAGCUUCCUGCUUACUUGAAUAGGGAGUGUAUGAAGCGAGCAACACUAGAGGAGAUCAGGAUGGCCUCUCGUCAGGCCAGGAAGGACUUGAUGAAUCACCUGAGGAAUGGGCAGGUUGUGGAAUAUGAGAGCAUAGAGCUAUUGUUCGACAAGGCAAAUAGGAAUCUGGCUGUGAGACUGUUGGAAUGCCAGUGCGCCGCAGCAGGAAUCUCUCCCUCCAUCUCCAUUUAUCAAUUAGUAAUUGUCCCAGUAAAUACACAAAUCCCCUACAGCAGUAAGACUUUCCUCUCAUGUUUCCAGUUUGAUUAAUAAUUCCACUGGCU